UUUGUAUAUAUCGUUAAUAACUAUAAUUUUCAUGUAAAUUUUUUUCCCAUCCGAUUUGUAUGAAAAAAUUAUGAAUUUUUUAAACCAGGGCCACCCCACCAAGACGGCCCAACCCUGCCGUACCGCUUCACCACGGCCCCGGCCCAUUCCAGCUCGAUGCCACCGCCCGCACGGCGUGACACUAAUGCGUGGGCCAUCUUCGUCGUCGUCUUCCUUCGGUCGCUCGCUCCUUCCCAUCUCUCUCUCGCGCGCGCCCGUUGCUCAAUCCCAUUGCAGCGGACGCUAGCACGACAGAGCCCACACGCACGCGGAGAAACCGACGCCAUUGCUAACCACGCUACGCUUCACGUCGUCCCAUCAUCGCGUUAUUUCUUGGAAAACGUGCACACCCUGUGGACGACGUCACGCCAACGACCCAUGAAACCCACUUCCGCCGGUUUCAGACGCAUGCGUGGCCGCCCCUGCCGACCAUCCUUGACGGCCGACGAGAUUUUCCUCUCGCAACCGCUUUAUCGUGCAUAUGAAAGGCACUGCCGGCUUCUCCUUCACCCCACUACACUACCACUGCCCUACCUCAGCCUCUCCUCCACGCCCAAAUCCUCCCGGCCGAGCUUCCUUGUUUAUUCCCCUAAAUUGGUCGCCACUGUUGAUCUCCUCCAUCGUUGAGUCCUUCCACCCUCUCUUGGUCUCAGCUGCUCCCUCUGGCUCUGCUCUCACUCCCUCGUCCCCUCUUACAGCAAGGGAGUCAUCAAAGGGUUGUAGGGGCUCAGAGCAGGAGCAGGCGCCGCCGCCUGUGGAAACCAAGCACGCUCUGUCGCCAACGAGCUCUUCCGCCCGCCUAUCGCGCCACUGGUGAGCACCCCGUACCUCUCUUCCCUUCCCCUUCUCCCUGCUGGCCUGCUCUCCAGCCUCGCGGUGCUGCCCCACUAGCUGCCGUCGGCCACCACCGUGCUCGGUCAGGCCGUCCAGCACCACUGCCCCCCGUCUCUCUCUCUCUCUCUCUCUCUCUCUCUCCCCUAUGUGUGGCCGACGGCACUCGGCAGGGAGGAGCUCAACUGUGCGUGGUAUCGUCUGAAGAUGGAGAGUGAAGAAGAGCAAGCCCAUUGGAGAAGAAAUGUUUGAAGCGUUCGACUGAAAUUUUCUAAAAUUUCAGUCUACCGACGACCAGACAUUCCGAAGAGAAAACAAUUUCUUGGUCCCUCGGGAGUUUGUAUCACCGUUGGUGUAAGAGUAUGGAUUGCCAUAAAAGUUCAGGCGGUGGCUUAAACAAAAGGUUUUGACGAAGGAAACAUCUGUAUAGUACUUCUAUAGAAAACUGUGCUACAGAACUAUACUUUCAGAGUCCAUGCCUGCAAUUGCUACUGAGAUAUGACAAGUCAACCAUCCGAGUUUUUCACCAGGACGGUGGUUGGUACGAGCAUUUGGUUGCCUGUACUGUUCAUCAUCCAGGAUGAGGAGGGAUAUAGAUUCCAAACAUAUUCUGAAAGAUGGACAAGACGAUCGCUGGAGGGGAAUGACACCGCAAACGAAAACGACCAACAUUUAUUCAGUUCGUCGUUUCGCCUGCUCGUCAAUCGUCAUCCUUGUCAGUUCAGGAGAUGAGCCCAA